GCCCGUCUAGCUCAGUCUGUAGAGCGCAAGACUCUUCAUCUUGUGGUCGUGGGUUCGAGGCCCACGGCUGGGCG